ensembl:lncRNA
AUGCGCGCCGGGAGGUGCCUGGGCGUCCCCAGCGCGGGCGGGCCCGUGCCCAGGAUGCUCGGAAGCAGGCAUAAGGGCAGGCACGCGCGGGGGCCCCCCCAGGCGCGGCGGAGCACGCGCGCACGCCCAGGUGAGUGCUCGCAGGUGUCUGCGCGGGGGAGGCGCCGGACCGCCCGGCCCCCGCCCGCCGGCUCGCUCCUUCUCUCCUCGCGGGCAGCCCCGCCCUGCCCGGGAGCUCGGGCCUGGCCCCGCCCCCUCCCGCGCUCCGCCCCCUCCCGCGCCCCGCCCCCUCCCGCGCUCCGCCCCUCGGGCCGAGCCUCGGCCGCCGCCGCCGCGGGGGAGGAGGAGGGGGAGGAGGGAGGCCGCCCGCCGCCCCCGCCCUCCCUGCGCGCUGCUCGGCGGCGGCCCCAUGUCCCCGGGCCCGAAGCCCCGCGGCGGGCGGCCCCCCCCGCGCGCGGCCGAGGUGGGGCGCCUCGUGUCCCCGCCCCGCGCCGCCGCGCUCCCCCGCGCCCGCCGGGGACAUGGUACGUUCCAGUGGCCCCGCGCUCAGCCCCGCCGGGGGGGCUUCGGCGGCGGCGGGGAGGACGCGGCGGCGGCGGCGGCGGCGGCGGCGCACGAGGGGCUGGGGCUGGGGCUGGGGCCGGCGAGCCGCGGCCGAGGGCGCAGCAGCGAGCCGAGAGCCGCACCCCCGCCGCCCCGGGCCGCGGCCACGGCCACGGCCGGCAGCAGCAGCGGCGGCGGCGGCUUCGCCCCUCGCUGGCACCCGGCGGGCCCCCCGCGGGCUGGCAUGACUCUGUUCGGCAGCGAAGAAGCGUGUCGGAGAUCAGUAACUGUGACCUGAACUAUGAGCUGUAUCGGGAAGACUUCCCCUACAGGGUGUAUGAAUAUCAGAGGAUCCCCCCACUUAUCAACCGAGCGCCUGUCAAGAGCAGACGGACUCACAUGGGAACAGGGGGCAAGAGUGGCCUCAACCCCCACAUCCCCCCACGAAGCAACAACCCACCCCCUGUCCGGACAAAGUUAAGAGCUGAGGAGCUGCACUCGAUCAAGGGGGAGCUGAGCCAGAUCAAAGCCCAGGUGGACAGUCUGCUCGAGAGUCUGGAGCGCAUGGAUCAGCGGCGAGACCGGCUGGGAGGGCCCCAAGACAGUGAGAAGAAGGUGGCCUCGGCCGGCGGGGAGUCCUCCAGUGCGGCCACGGAGGCCCAGCGGGAGCCCAGGGGCAAAGAGAGCCCGGAGGCCAGAGCUCGCAGCCGCAGGGAGGCCGACAGUGCUGAAGAGAGCACGGACACGGAGGAGGCGGUGAGGAUGAAAAACCACACAUCGGACCCUGACGGGAGCCAGUAGAAGCACUGGGGCCCUUCCUGGGUCGGCCUCCCAGCCGGUGCCACGUGAGACCUGCCCUCCAGCCUCUCCUCCAGAAGCUGGGCACAAGUCCCUGAGGUGCAGGCCUAGAGAAUGGGCCUGGGGAGGCAGGAAAAUCCAGCAGGUCUAGAAUUUCCCUUUGAAAAAACUCCACCCUCCUUUCCUCUGUGCUGUUUCCCCCACCUCAUGAAAAAGGGGUUCCCUUGGUAGUAAGGCUUGGCAGGACGGGCAUUUGGGGGAAGCAUCUGGGCCAACAAUUCCAAGUUCUUCCCAAAUUGCUCAGUGAUGAUUUUCAGUUCCCCGUCCCCACCGGGUACCCACUCAUUUCUUCUUGAAGAAACAUUCCCAGGGGUAGAAACCCCCCCAUCUCUUGGACAGUCAGUCCAUUUACAACAGUAUUGGCUCUCUUCCUGGCUCCAGCAGACACGACCCAGGUUUUGCUCUCAAUAUUAGCCAUUCGACACAGAAACCCCCAGUGUUCCUUAUGGGGCUCCCCCAGCUUUCUUUCUGCCCAGCCAGUGUUGGGGAGACAUUGGCCGCAUACCCCCUCAUCCCCGCGAUGUGAGGUGAGAUCGAUACCAUUCUGUGCUUUCUCUGGUCCCCGAGAACCCCUACCAAGCCAGGCCAAGGGCAGCCGCCUCAGCUCCUGGUGGCUCAUCAAGGUUCCCCCUUUUCCCAGCACCCCGUGGCUUCAAUGUUUUGCACUAUUAGCCUUCAUGUGACCCCUUCUUCUCCCCCGGCCCCUGCAGAAUUCCAUACCCACAGUGGUGCAUGGGAAAUGAGUUCUGUUUCCGACAGGUGCGUUUCUGCUCCGUAGAAGAUAAGUCAGGUCCUUGGUCGAUGUUGCCCCGGUUAGCCCCGUUACUUCCUUGUCCCCCCUUCCCCCAUGCUGUCCUUUCAGAACAGGUGUAGUUCAUUCUUAUGUCCAGUUUCUAGCUUGUCUUCUUGCUGGUAUGAUACUGUGUAUUUCAAAUCUGCUCUGGAAAAGUGUAUUGUGUUGAAAGGAAAAAAAAUUAAAAGUUUGUAUUUCUUUUCUCUGGUUAAAUCGAUUCUGUAUGAGUUCCUUCUCUGCUCUCCCCCAACCACGUUGCAGGCCCUGGGCCCUUCCAGGGUUCCUGGGACCGACCCUCCAGAUCAAAACACCCAGACGGCCCUAGACCUCCUGGAAAUGUCCACCCCGUGGCUUGUUGGGGGGAUGGGGAACCCCCCCUUGGGCAGCUCAGCUCUGAAUUCCUUACCCGUUUGUGUCCCAGCCACUGGCACCCAGGCCCCUUUAGGGCACCCAUCCCCAGGAUCCUCCCUCCCCGGGAGCCAGGAUCCCACCCCUGGCCUUACUCCAUGCUUGGGGUUCCAAGUAGACCAAAUAAAGCCGCCCUUGGCAGGGCCCACUUGGGUUCCGUGGCAGAGUCCCCCGUGAGUGACCCCGCGCUUUCCGGCCUUUUUAGGUCC